rnacentral:rRNA from 1 species
GACGAACGCUGGCGGCGUGCUUAACACAUGCAAGUCGAACGAGUGGCGAACGGGUGAGUAAUGUAUGGGGAUCUGCCUGAUGGAGGGGGAUAACUACUGGAAACGGUAGCUAAUACCGCAUACCAUCAGGUGCACCCAUAGGGGAUUAGCUCGUAGGUGAGGUAACGGCUUACCUAGGCGACCAGCCCUAGCUGGUCUGAGAGGAUGCUCAGCCACACUGGGACUGAGACACGGCCCAGACUCCUACGGGAGGCAGCAGUGGGGAAGAUUGCACAAUGGGCGCAAGCCUGAUGCAGCCAUGCCGCGUGUAUGAAGAAGGCCUGCGGGUUGUAAAGUACUUUCAGUCGGGAGGCGUUACCGACAGAAGAAGCACCGGCUAACUCCGUGCCAGCAGCCGCGGUAAUAC